ensembl:lncRNA
ACAAGCUAUAAUAUGAUUUAAGAAACAUAAAGUACACAAUAAUUACAUUUGUUACUGUAAUGGCACUGUGAUUUCCUUUCAGUAACAUGGUCUCAUACCAGUUUCUAUUUACUUCAGUUUUUAUUUUUGUGAAAUACCCCUUUCAGUGGCUAAUUUAUAGAUAUUUUCUAAAUAUUGAUGCUUAGAUAAUGCCUCAGUCAACUGGGGUAGUAUCAUGAUAUAUAUUAGUUAUUUUAGACCUUAUUUAUUAAUCUUUAUUUUUGUCCUAUUCACCUAAUGUUUCUUAACUUUUCCUCAAUUCACUGAAAAAUAUCUUCUUUCUUCAGGUCUUCAGAGUAAAGACAGAUCUUCUCGCAUCAGGUAGUCCAGUGUAAAAACUAACAGUGGUGGAUGCUGAGAAAACCCAAUCCAGUCUGGGAACUUCUGUAUCAGCAUGAACUCUGCUUUUCCCUGUUCCUCACCAGUGGGGAGGGAUCAGAGUCUUUUACGGAAGGAGCAAAUGCAAAUGGAGGUCUAUUCUUGAAGAUGCACUGCCCACCAGAGAGUUGUGUUUUGGUUAAGGGGAUGAUUUGAUGUUUUUACCCAUGUGCAUUAAUGCAUUUAAUGAGAUUAUAAUUCACAAUGAAACAGUUACAUAAUCAUGCAUAACUGUAUUUUAGUUUAGUGUUGCUUGCCUUAAAAAUUCUGUAUUAAAUUGUAUCUUCUUCUAUCAAAAGAUAACAUAAUUAAAGGAGUUUGACUUAAAUACAGUAAUACUCAGGUGUUAUGGUUGUACUUUCACAACAUAAUGACAGUUUCAUAUUUUAAAGAUUUAUGUUGCAAAAAAUGCCCUUAAUUGCAUUAAUGUACAUGACGCAUUAAUGUAACCUAAAAGAGAUCCAUUUCUGCAGUAAUUUAAUAGCAUGCGUGCCUUUUUUUAAUAGAGGUCAAGAUGUAUUUACCCUGGAAUAUUCCUUUAAAAGAAAAGAACUUCAGUUGUAGUCUAGCACAGAAGUGAAAUCAAUGGAAUAUUUAUACAUUGCAUAA